ncrna:unclassified sequences malK-I RNA
CCCGGUGAAGUGCGUCUACUCCACUAUUCUAGGCGUGUUUCGCUAAAUUUAAGGAGGAUAAAUCCGUCUGACUUACGGUGCGGCAGUGUGGAGACCUGUCGUAGUGCUUCCGGAAUUUUGCUUUCCGGCAGCGAGGACGCGCGCGAAAAUGGUAGGCGCGUCUAGAGUCAAGAAAGUAUGGCA